rnacentral:sRNA from 1 species
ACCAAAAUCGGUAUCCACUCGUGGCAUACAGGGAGCCAGGCAUAACGACAAA